rnacentral:lncRNA from 1 species
UGCAACAACCAAAACUAUCCAACUGGAUGAUACAACAACAAAACCAGUUACAUAGUUGGGGACUAAUUCCCCUCGAUGCCCACUGCCUCCACUGGUCCUUUGCCUAUCCAGUAUUUGUAGGCAGCAUAAACAGAGGAUACAACCAGGAUGCCGAGGAUCAUGUAGGUAACGAUAGUAGCCACGCUGAUCUGGCUAGGAGCCUUCUUCACUUUGCUUUGUGCCAGCAAGGCCUUUGGCUUAAUCUUUGCCAUCCUACGCUCCUGCUAAUCCCAAGAAACAAAAAAAAAGGGCAGAAUAGUGUGAGCAAAGUGUGCAUAGGAUCAAAAGAAAAAAAGGCUAGGAAGGAUUUUUCUUGGACCUUCGUCAAUCAAAAACAUACUCCUAUCAACAGUAAGUAGGUAAUAGCUACAGGCAUCAUGUUGUCAAAAAAACAUGUUAUUAAGGUGAUUGUUUCUUCAAAGCUAAGAAUACCUGAUUCAUGGUGUAAAAUACAUAAGCAGAGUAUGGUAGUCUGCAAAUAUUAAACAAGUAUAUAACAGAGGCAGCCCCAAGCCAAUGCUAAUACCGGAACACAAAAUAUUAUUAGACUGGCAAAAUAAUGAGGAUCAGAACUUCAGGAUGCAAGCAUGGUAUGUGGCAUGAAGUGGAAAUGCUGGAAACUAUUGCAUCAGGACCAAAUCUCCAGAUGCUGGAAACUAUUCACAAAGUACAAUCUUGUCUGAAGCAAAUAGCAAUUCUGUGAUUCAAAAGAGCAGAUUAAUGAAUGCGAUCAAGCAGAAAAGCUUAAUAUCAUUAUAUUUGUUCAUGGACUACAAAGUUCAGCAAUUCAUGUUCAUAUGCAAACUAUAGGAUGUAUCAUUUACAGUUGAAACUUGAAAGACUUGGUGGACAGGGAAAUACAAGAUAUUCUCAUGGAGUUUCAGAAUUUUAGAUUAUGAAACCAGAAGCAAUGAACCAGUGGCAAACCCACAGCCUGACCCUGAGCAGCCACCCGAUCUCGGCGGCGAAGCACAAAGAGAAAAUUUAUUUGACACAAUGGAGAACAUUGUAUUUUUCUUAAAUAUGUUUUUGCAAAAUGAGAAUAGCCUGGGCUUCUAAAAGUUUCUGGAUCUGCCACUGCAAUGAGCCUACUUGGAAACUCCAUGGCACAACAUAAGUUCAGGUAAGAGUUACUUGUCUUAUCCAUGGAAUAAGGACAAGACUAAUAAAGAAUGACACAAAUAAAAAGGUUCAUGAGUUCAUUUCUCCAACUUCGCAUCCUGACUUAGCUUUGGCACUCCACUAUCAAUUUACUGGCUUUAUACGCAGCAGCAGCAGCCAGCAGGGUAGUCAAACAAGUCAUUACUUUGCUUCCAUCUCCCUCUGAGAAUCUCUUACUGUUUCUUAAAAUAUGGGCAAGGUGUGUUCAUGUUUUGUUGCAUUUAUAUGAUUAUCACUGAAAUAGAAAUUAACCAUAUGAAUAUGAUUUAGGCAUGUUUGAAAUAUUGACAUGAGAAAAAAAUAUAGUAUCAUGGGAGUAUAUGAUUACUGAACCAAAACAAUGAACAUACAUGGAAAACUCCAUGGCAGAACAAAAGUUCCAGGUCAAUGUUGUAUGACAUGGCAUAAGGGGCACUUCAAUAGGGAUAGACAAAUAGAAAAAGGUUCAUGAAUCCAUUUCUACAGCUUUGCAGCCUGACUUGACUUCUGCACACGCCUUUAUCAAUUUACUGGCUUGACAGGAAGCAGCAACUGGCUAAUAAAACAAGUUACUCCUCUCUUUCACCCUCCAAGAAUCUCUCUUAGACUCUUACUACUUAUAAAAGUUAAAAAUAUGACCAGGACAUGUUCAUAAUUUGCUUUAUUGUUGGUUGGUAAUCUGAAAUCUGAACUAAUAUUGAAGUAAAGUAGGAAAAUAUACAGGAAAUCAAAAUGAUUAAGAAAAGAUAAUUCAAUAAGCAAACAGAAAGUUGAAUAAAUUUGAGCACUAGUAUUUACAAUAGUAUUGUAUUUUCUUUUGCUGUGUAUAUGAAAAUGCUAGGUACACCGUACACCAAGCACAAGAAAAAACUAGUUUUUGUUUACAUCAUUAAUAAUGUCCUAAACUAGCGUAAAUAUUCACUUGCCACCUCAGAGUAGGCCUUUGUCAUGGGCAUAAAGAGGGGCGCCGUAGGGCGCAAGUGUCCUAGUUGGGCCUUAAGCCCAUUAGUGUUAAUUAGUGUCUCUCUUAGUUAUUUGUCUAUAGGAAUAGUACCAUAUUGUCUAGGCACAAGAGGUGUUAGUCCUAUGUACCUUUUAUAUUCAGCCCAUGGGGCACAAUGGAAAGGAAGCAAUGAAUUAUGAAGAAACAAUUCUAGUCUCCCUCAUUCUCUUAAGCUCUUGGCAAAGCAUAAGGCCUAGUUAUCUCCCAAACAUCCAUCUAUCAUAACAUCUGGUAUCACGAGUCUGUCGAUCCAUCCACAGCUGCUGCCAAUCCUCCACAUCAAAAAAAAAUCAAUCCAGAUCGCCGGCCGAUCCAUCUUCCACGGCCAUCCACCACCACAGCCCCCAGCCGCCGCGCCUCCAUCUCCAUCAUCCGCCGCCAACAGCAACUAUCUCGUCGAUCCCCUUUGUUUCCAAAAAAAAGAGAUCAGCCGAUCCUAGCAGCCAGCAGCAGCGUCACCUCAACCCUAAACACGCCGCCGCAGCUGCCCCACUACGCGCCGCCACCACCACAGCCCAAUCCCCAACACCAUCUCGCGCAGCCACAACCCCACUUCCAGCCGCUGAGCCAACUCUCCGAUCCCGAUCCAUCUUCCACGGCCAUCCACCACCACAGCCCCCAGCCGCCGCGCCUCCAUCUUCACCCCUCGCCGCCGAUCCAGCAGCUCGACCUCGACCCGUCGACGCCCGUACAUGAUGGAGUUCCCGCAGUUUGAUGGAACCUCUGAUCCGGAGGCCUUCAUCAACCAGUGUGAGCUCUACUUCCGCCGGGAGUGCAUCAUGGUGGAAGAACGGGUAUGGCUAGCUUCUCGCAAUUUGAAAGCUGAUGUCCGCGAGUGGUUCCGCCAAGUCACACAAGAUGAAUACCCGGCAUGGCGUCGCUUCACAGAGCUCCUGCAGCGGCGCUUCAAACCAACUCUGCGCCCCAAUCCGCUCCACCGGCUAUCCCUUGGUGUCGACAACUGCCUGCGCAGCCUUGCGGAGAUGACCGCACAGCUGGAUUGCCUCCGGGUGCGUCUCGAGAAGGAGGACCGUGAACGCCGGGCAGCUGUACGCCUCCAGGCAGCAGCACGGGGACUCCUGGCACGUCGCCGAGCGCAGGCUCUUCGUGCCACAAAAGCAUCGAAGGAGCAAGCAACGGUGCGCCUCCAGGCAGCAGUGCGCGGAAUGCUUGUCCGUCGCAUGGUGCGGCAGAUACGCAUGCUCCUCAGCUCGACGUUGUCGUACGUGUUCAUCCACUCGGACUCGCCGAUACGGCCUGCGGCUCCAAUUGCAGUGGAGGUCUAAGUAUGGGCGUUUCCAGUGCAGCGACCUCGCAUCAGCAUCCAGCAUCAGGCAUCAAAGGCUAUCUCAUUCAUCCUUGUGCCUGCCGUGGUGCUAGACACUUUCAGCAUAAGAGCCAGCUGCUUCACACUCCACUCUUCAGCCUACAUGAAGCCAGCAGAGGCGCUCUUCCCAUGGGAUCCAGGUGGAUAUCCUUGUAUUUUAGUCUUCAAUAAAAAGGGGAAGCCGAGAUGUAAAAGGCUUAACCCUAUUUCGCGUCAGCUCUCCAGCUCGAGGACGAGCUGGGUCUCCAAGGGCGGGGGAGAUGUCAUGGGCAUAAAGAGGGGCGCCGUAGGGCGCAAGUGUCCUUGUUAUCAUAGAUGGAUGUUUGGGAGAUAACUAGGCCUUAUGCUUUGCCAAGAGCUUAAGAGAAUGAGGGAGACUAGAAUUGUUUCUUCAUAAUUCAUUGCUUCCUUUCCAUUGUGCCCCAUGGGCUGAAUAUAAAAGGUACAUAGGACUAACACCUCUUGUGCCUAGACAAUAUGAUACUAUUCCUAUAGACAAAUAACUAAGAGAGACACUAAUUAACACUAAUGGGCUUAAGGCCCAACUAGGACACUUGCGCCCUACGGCGCCCCUCUUUAUGCCCAUGACAGCCUUGCCAUCCUUUCUCCUCAAUUGAUGAAGAACUUUUUUUAUCAUUGGUGGUGCAGAGCUAGCUAGACUCUGAGUGGCCCCACCCAACAAGGAUUAAAUUCCCUAAUCAUUUUAGGUGUAUGGACUCUCUGGAAACACAGGAAUGACUAGUUUUUAAUGAAGUUACACCAAGGCUCCAGAGCCCUAUACCUUGCUGAUGAGGAGUACCAGCUCUGGAGUACGGUAGGCGCUAUGGGGCUGUUUUAUCACAGCCCUAGCCUGGAUAACUAGGUUGUAGGUCUGCUCGCCCCUUUUUCCAUUUUUAAAGGUGUGUAUGUAAUCCCUUUAUUUCUCUCUUAAUGAAAUAUGGUCGCGAAAAAAAACAUGUAAUCCUUUUAUCUGAGGGGGUGUGUGUGUGUUGGAACUCUGUUCUUCUAGUAAUACAAUGAUACACAGCCUCUCCUAGGUGUUCAAGAAAAAAAGAACCUUACAAGCUGAUAUUGAUCAUACAAAAAUUGGAGGGGACACUUCGAUUCGACAUAUAGAUCACCUGCUAACUUACUACAGAAGGUCUGUACCAUAAUUAAGAAAAUCAUAGUGCCUAGUGCCAUUUAGUGAAGGACAACAAAUGGGCUAAGAUUACCUUGUUGUAGACUCAUAUAAAUGACCCAUCAAGCAUGGAUCUGUAGACUCAUAAGGCAUGGGAUCCAACGAACACCCACGGUUUCUUUUUUAGUUUUUUUGGAAAAAGUUUCAUAUCCAGCAGGGACGGACCCAGUAAGGCUGUGUUCGAUUACCUGGAUUGGAACCAGGAACUAUUCCAGCUUUUCAAAACUAUACAAAUUAGUGAACAAUUUCCAACUGGAAUCAUUCCAGUGACUCAAUCCAGAGCAACCGAACAAGCCUUAAAGGGCAUGGGGGUACACAAUAAUUUUGCAAAGAAACUGAAGCUAGUAGGCAUAACACAUGAAUACACUUGGAAUUAGAUCAGAUCCAAAUAGGUUUCGGGAACCCUGUUUCGCACAGCAGGAAGGGAACGAGGGAAGAGGAGCGCGCAUACUUAGUGGUUGCUCGUCGCCGGCGAAGGGCUGUUGAAGGGACCGACGAAAGCGUGGGCACCUGGCCUAGGGCGGCGGCGACGGUCGCCAAGUUGUCCCCACGAGAGAGGGCGCGCUGGCGGGGGUUGAACCGGAGAAGGGAAAGCAGGGGGCAAUACUGGAGAAAAAGUUGGGAUUUUUCAAACUGAAUUUUCGUGUCCAGAUCUCUGUUUUCAAGCUGGCCUGAGUUUGACGGCUUUUUAGUUACUCUCCUCAGUUCCCUCCAUUCCAGUGAGUUGUUGCGAAGGGGCCUGAGUUGUUUUGUUUUUUUUUCUAGAUUUAUUUAUAGGUUUUUAUAUUAUGUAUAUAUCUAGAUAUAGUCCAUGCUUGGUUAAUCAUCUCCGCAAAGGAAUUUAAGAGAACAAGGUGAAUUUUGACGUGUAAGUGAUUUAAUUCCACUUGGUGUUUGUUCGGUUUUGCGAGGAUUGCAGGAUUUAAGGGGAUUGAUGGUUGAUCCUUUACAAGACAAAAUCCUCCAAAUCACCUCCAAUAUCCUUGAAGAGGAGAUUAACCAUACAAGUUUGUUUAUUUGGCUGAUAAGCCACGACAAAAAAUAUUGUUGGCUGAUUUGUUGUGAGAGAAAAAUACUGUUAAAUGAUUGACAAAUUCAGCUGAUAAGCUCAAGCGGCCAAGUUCCCUUAAACACUUCCAUUACUUCUCCAAUCUUCACUAGUGUCAAAUCAACCAAUUUUGAGUUCUCCAAUCCAAAUUUUGAGUACAGCGCAUGGGAGAAUUUUGUGGCCACGCGCGUGCAGCUGGCAGCGUGAUUGAUUCCUCCACCUGAUCUUGUCUCUUGACCAGCGACGACGAGGAGGGAAGUGGCAUGCAUGUUUUUUUUUCCUUCUUUCUCGUCGUCCUGCACGACAAUCGGCAGUAGCAAAAACCAAAAGGUGUUGUCUCAAGAUGAUAGAGUAGCCUAUAAAGUUGGGCUUAAUCUUCCAGCCAACAAGCCAAGUACAGUGUACCGAACCAAGUGUUUUACAUUUGUUUUCUCAAAAUAUACGUAGUCCCACGCAUGAUUUAGUUAACGACGAGGAUUGGCUCUCCCAUCUUAAAAAAAAUUGCAAAAAGAUUCAAUAUUUGGAAAAGGGAAAGUGGUACAGGUCAACUUUGAUCAAUGCCAACCUGAGUAAGGGCCCGUUUGCCAGGGCUUCUCCAGCGACUUCAGGAGCUGUUUGGAGUUGUUUUUUGCCAAAUAGGAUAAAAUAAAAUGGCUCCAUCAAUAAAACCCCUAAAAAUAUGCUCUCACAGAGUUUUGGGGUGCGAUGGAGCCAAAAAUAGUGGCUUCUCCCAGCUCCACCUUAUCCUAAGUGGUGUUCUGUGAGAGCACAUUUUAAGAAAAGAGUUGUUUUGUCAAACGAUUUACCAAAACGGCUCCAGCUCUACUGAUAGAGCUGUUUAUGGAAUUGAUGCCCCGAGAAACAACUUCACUAGUGAAGUAGAGCCAUGCCAAACGAGGCCCGUCUACAACAUUCCUUCUAUCUUUUACACAAGUUGUGAUUAAUAAUUUGGAUAAAAUCAAAAGUGUCUUUAUGGGGUGGCACUAAAUGGAGUAAGUGGCCAUCUUGUGAAAUGGACCAACAUUUGCUAGAGUAAAAAGGCUGGGUAUCAAGGAUCUAUGAAAGUUAAACGUAAGUCUAUUAUGUAAGUGGUUAGUUGUGCUGGUACCAAACUUCUAUAUUUUCCUUACACGGCUGUCAGUAGAAAUGGAAUCGCUUCUCUUAAAAAAAAAGGUAAACAUAAGAAGGAGAGAAAUUAAGAACAAGGUUUCUAAAUAGCCAUACAUAUAGUACGUCUUAGAACUUACUUAGAUCUAUUAACACUAUAAAAUUAGUAGCUACAAAUCAUACUAUUGGAUCCAAAUAUAUCUGCUAAUAAACCUGCUAAUUAUUAGUAAGGGACUACUAACUAUUAGCUCUAUUAGCAGGUUUAGAAUUGCUAAUAGCCGUAAUAGCUGCUGAUAGUGUAGGGAUACCUUUAACUUGCUAUCCAUCCAUUUAUUAGCACGUGAAUUUAAAUGGAUCCUACUAAAAGUAUAGCUAGCUAAAAAAUUAAUAGCAGCUCCAACAAUUAGCUUUUAAGUUAGCUCUAAGAUUUUUCUCGUACUAUUUUAAUAAAAGAGAUUAAGAGCUAGCUCUUGCACAUAUUUCAAGGUGAUGUGAGAAUGUCAUGUAGGGUUAUCCAUGUUAAAAGCUAUGUGCUAAAAGUUAGCACCAUUGUGGGUGUCCUUAGCUAUCCAAUUUUUAGUGCUAAUAGGUUCGAACAGGACCUUAAUUAAGUUGGGAAAGCUAGUGGAAGGAAAAAAACAGAAGAGGAUACCAUGCCAAUUCGCCAAAGCUAAACUAACAUCAUUAUCAUGAUUAGGGAGGAACCUUAUCUGGACACAUAUAUACAAAAGAUCAAAGAGGGCAUCAUUCGGUGGAUUUCGAGAACGUUACUAAAAGAUGAUGUCAGGCACUCAAGCGCCGUGUCGUGGUGUACUUCGAUUUGCCAAAACAUUCGUGUGUUGGAGUGUGCUUAAACACCCAAUGCAAUGCAAAUGCUAAUUUAGGUUUUGUCUAACUCAACUAGAGCUUAUUAAAAAAAUUAACUCUCAACCAUAUCAAGUGUAGUUCAUUAGGGGUGAAUCUAGAGUAAUUUUCUUGGUCCAUUUAUCCUGACCAAAUUUGUAAAUCCCUUAUAUUGAUACACUUCUACAACUCCAAAGUUUAAUUAACCUAUGCCUGCGUGCAUAUACUAGGGAGUUGUUCGCUCCUUGUAAUUUCAGUUUUGGAUUAUUUUGUGGAGUUUAUUCUCUGUUGAGCCGCCGCUUGAGAAACCUUAGAUGGUGAUCCCAUCAGAUUUUUCAUCUUGAAGAUUAUUUUCAGGAUUCUUAUGGAUCUGCGUGGAAUGCGUGAUUAAACUGCUAUGGAUUAAGUGUCACUGCUACUCGAAUUGCAUCUAAUCCAGUUUUUAUAAGCCGAGAACUCCUUAUUUUGUACUGCUACCUAGUUUUGGGAGUGGAAAGAGUUGAGUUUGAGGCCAAGUAUUUGGGAUUGCCAACUCCAAAUGGCCGGGUUCGAAGAGGGCUAUUCCAACCUCUCGAGGAGCGUUUCCACAAAAGAAUGGUUGCAUGGAAGGAAAAAUAUUUAUCUGCAGCAGGAAAGGAGGUGUUGAUCAAAUCGGUGGCUCAGGCUUUGCCAGUUUAUAUUAUGAGUGUUUUUAAACUUCCUCUAACCCUGUGUGGUGAACUCAUGAAGCAGAUUCGUGCUUUCUAGUGGCGAGGUGAAAAGGGUCGAAGGAAGGUGCAAUGGAUCCCAUGGGAAAAAUAGGUGCUGACGAAGGAUUUGGGUGGUAUGGGUUUUAAGGAUCUUCGCCUGAUGAACCAGGCGCUGCUUGCUCGACAGGCCUGGAGACUUGUGGCUUUUCAUGAUAGUCUCUGUGCAAGGGUGUUGAAAGCUAAAUACUACCCCAACAGUAAACUAUUAGACCGGGCUCCGACUGGUGAUGCGUCACAGACAUGGAGAGCUAUUGAAUAUGGUUUGGAGCUGCUAAAAUAGGGCGUCAUUCACUGGAUUGGUAAUGGAUUGAAACUGAUUGGUCCUAUGUGCUCUUGUCGGCCACUGGGUGCAUCACCUCAUCGAUGACAGUGGAAACAGCUAUUCAGAGGUAUUUUUUCCCUUGUGAUGUUGUUGAAAUUUUUAAGAUCAAGUUGCGUGUUCAAGAGACUCCAGAUUUUGUGGCCUAGCAUUAUGAGAAGACGGGUUAUUUCUCUGUUCGUAGUGCUAACAGGCUAGCUGUCCGGAAUUUCUAUGGGGUUGGUAAUAUUGGGAGUAGUUCCAGUGCUGGAUGGAAGAAAUUGUGGCAGGUAGAUGUGCCAUCCAAAGUCAGCAUUUUUGCUAUGAAGGUUGUUAACAAUGGUUUGCCUACUCGUGUUAAUAAGAAAUACCGCCACCUUAAGCAGCAAGAUGUAUGUCAGAUAUGUGGGCAAUAUGCUGAAGAUGUUUACCAUGCCUUGGUGGCUUGUCCACAUGCUUUGACCCUACGACAGGCUAUGAGGGAGCACUGGGUGUUACCGUCAAAGCAGGUUUAGCCAAGGCUGAUCCAGAAUGGUUGAUGAUGCUGAUUCACAAUAAUACUCGAGAGGUAUUGGCAAAUGUUUUCAUGCUCUUUUGGCAUACUUGGAGUAUGCGAAAUAAGGUGAUCCAUGAGGAUAUCUUUCCUUUUAUUGCCAGCUCAGUCACCUUUCUAACCAGGUAUAUGACAUCUCUGAAUAAUAUCCGACAACAGCCUGAUCACAUGGAUUCCAAAGGAAAAUGUUGUGCAGAGUUUGUGGCUAGUAAUACUCAGAGGCAAACAAAUUCAGAGGAGGAAGUGUUGGGUGUUACCACCAUAGGGUUCCUUCAAGAUUAAUGUUGAUGCUACUUUUAAUCAGUUGUCUGGUGAUGCUAUAGUGGGGAUUGUGAUCCGAGAUUGACAGGGUCCUUAAAACUUACUGUCUGGCGCUUUUUAUCUUAUUGCAGGGAUGCUGAGGAGGCCGAGGAGAUAGGUUGAGAUGGCCAGAAACUCCGAUGAUCUUGGAAUCUGAUUGUCAAAUGGUGGUUGCCAAAUUUCACAGCAAGGGUUGUGAUCGUUCUGCCCUGUGGAAUGUCUUCAUGAUGAUGCAUGACACCGAUAGUCAGUUAUGCAAAUUAGAGGUUGUUAAGAUUAGUAGGGAUCAGAAUAAUUUGGCGCAUGAGUUGGCACGUUUUGCUUCUAGGUCUAGGUGGUGUCAGUGUUUUUUUGCUUAUUUUCUAGACUGGGUUGUGUCCCUCUCUUGUAAGGAUGUUACUUAAUUCUUAAUAAAGUUUGUUCUUUCGCAAAAAAAAGGAUUGGUUCGUUGAUCAGAUUUUAGGCCAUACUACAGUAUUGUGGCAUCUUAAUUAAUUAUUACCUAAGUACCCAUUAAUCUGAUAUGUCGUUGCUGUGAGGUUGCUGCUGCUGUCACUAGUUGAAUAUUUUAAUCUAAACUCUGUUUAGAGGGAGAUCACGAGUAUAUGUCCUAUUUACGUGUUGAAUUUGGCAAUUGACGUAUAUUGUUGCUACCUGGUUCCUUUGGUGACUUGCUCUUGUCUGUGAUUGGUCAGGCCAACGCUGAUGCACUAAACACUGCCGAUAGCAAAUAUAUUUGUUACCUGCUGAUUUCCUGAGCUGAGAGAAGAAAUUAUUUUCUGUUCGCUGAUUGAUAAAUUGAAAGAUUUCUAAUAUAUUUGCAUGUAUCAUGAAAGAUUGAUAAAUUGAAAGAUUUCUAAUAUAUUUGCAUGUAUCAUGAAAGAUUGAUAAACUAAAAGAUUUCUAAUAUAUUUGCAUGUAUCAUGAAAGAUUGAUAAACUAAAAGAUUUCUAAUAUAUUUGCAUGUAUCAUGAAAGAUGGCAAAAUUAUUUUAGGUAUAGUAGGCGUGUCUUCGUCAUGUCAUUUACAAACAGAAUGAUGUUCCAAAUUGAUUCGGCUUUAGUGGACUUCUCUAAUUGAGAGAUAAGAUGAUGAGCCAAUUGCCCUAUAGUUGUGUUGGUUGGAGCACAUACAAGAACUCUAGGUUUCUUAGCUCGUCAGAAGGAAAUACAGGAUUACUGAAAAAACUGUGAUUAUCGGUGUCGGGUGGGCUCUAAACCAAUCGUACGAACUAGAAGAGUGCUCAGUUGCUGAAAUAUAGCUUGCUAUUAUAUUACACUGGAUGAAUUAAGUCCAAACUGGACAGUGGCAGCCUCAAAAUUACUUGCUUUAUUUUCUACAUCAGGCUGCAACAUAUAUUAAAAAAAAACACUAUCAACGCAAAAAAAGCAAAACAAUAGAUAGAGAAAGAGAGAGAUGCCAAUACUACUUACAUCAUUAUUACUUUUAGUCAAUAUGAAAUUGAUUAUUCUAGACCUAUCUUUGAAACCUCUCACCAUUUGUUGCCAAAUACAUUCAUCAAUACUUAGAUUAGCUAGGUGCAUGAUCUGGUACAACCUUUCCUGACUCAUGCUGCACUCACGCGGCGAUUCUGAUACCAAGUCAUCCAUCCAUACUAUAUAACAAUCCUCAAAUUCACACACAUCCUAAUCAUUAACCCGCGUAACCACUAGGAUGGUGCAAAAGGAACUGUUGUUGAGGAUUUCAUCUAGACUCUCAUAAUAGCAUGAGAUUGUGCUUGACAAAUUCUUCCCCUUUGGUAGAGAAAGCUUGACACGGUAUUCAUUUGGCCAGCUUUGUUUGAGUGUAUGGGGUGAAGCUACAUAUGUACUUGUGGGCGCAUAUGACCCCUCAAAAUACAUAUUAAAUAAUAAAGUCUAAAAUUUUCUUAUAUAUGCACCUUCUAUGGCCGAAGUCUAUGCACUUACAAGAAAGCUGCACCCUCUUUAAUUUACUCUCACUUUGCACCAACACAGGCAUACAUCAAUAUUUGGUUUUGAACAAAAGUUGAUAUGACACAUACCAUAGGUACAGGAUCGCAAAAACAUUAUUCUUCCAACAAAAGUUAUGUUUCUUUUAUGUUUCUUUUACUCAACAGAGCCUCCGCCUCAGUAGUAGCUUUUAUUGCUCUAUUUCUCCUCCCCCUGCAUAUUAUUUUUUUGUCUCAAGAUGAUUGUAGCCUCUGCAAGAUACCAUCACACAUGUGAGAUGUAUGAAUUUAGAAUGCCAUGGCAUCCAAACCUAGUUGGUAAGGGAGGGGAUGACUUAGAGCUACGCCCUAACCCUACUCAGCACAUUCCCUAUGUUCACGUAGUGGUAAGCGCUUCACUUGGGACGGGUCAUUUUUUAUUAUAUUUUCCCAUAAAUGGUAAAGUAACAAAUAUAUGCCAUGUUGAAUAAAGAAAUUUAGAACAUUAAAAACUAGUUCCUCUGAACCAUAAAAAGAGUAUUCUUGCUUCCUAAGAAAUCAACUAUCUUUAACUUUGACCAAAUCUAUAUAACAAUAUUAUUACUUAUGGUACACAAUUAUUAUCAUUGGAUAGAUCUUUCAAUAUAUUUUCACAAUAAACUUGAUUUGGAUUGUUAAUAUUUUCUACAAAUCUAAUUAAACUCAACAAAAAUAACUAGUAUAAAUCCCAUAGCGACUCUUUUUAUGGAAUGGAGGGAGCAGUAGACCGAUAAAUUCGUGCGUCCUGAGUAACACUAAAGAAAUUCAGCACAUUCAAAACAAGGAAACGGCACUGCAUGUUCCAAGGGUUACAGUAAAAUUGCAGCAACAUACAUUCUACGCAUGUUCCAUCAAACCAUUUACCACUGCACUGCAACAACCAAAACUAUCCAACUGGAUGAUACAACAACAAAACCAGUUACAUAGUUGGGGAUUAAUUCCCCUCGAUGCCCACUGCCUCCACUGGUCCUUUGCCUAUCCAGUAUUUGUAGGCAGCAUAAACAGAGGAUACAACCAGGAUGCCGAGGAUCAUGUAGGUAACGAUAGUAGCCACGCUGAUUUGGCUAGGAGCCUUCUUCACUUUGCUUUGUGCCAGCAAGGCCUUUGGCUUAAUCUUUGCCAUGCUACGCUCCUGCCAAUCCCAAGAAAAAAAAAAGGUAGAAUAGUGUGAGCAAAGUGUGCAUAGGAUCAAAAGAAAAAGGUAGGAAGGAUUUUUGUUGGACCUUCGUCAAUCAAACAAUACUCCUACCGAAACGCAAAAUAUUGUUAGAAUGGCAAAAUAAUGGGGAUCAGAAGUUCAGGAUGCAAGCAUGGUAUGUGGCAUGAAGUGGAAAUGCUGGAAACUAUUGCAUCUGAACCAAAUCUCCAAAUGCUGGAAACUAUUCACAAAGUACAAUCUUGUCUGAAGCAAAUAGCAAUUCUGUGAUUCAAAAGAGCAGAUUAAUGAAUGCGAUCAAGCAGAAAAGCUUAAUAUUAUUAUAUUUGUUCAUGGACUACAAAGUUCAGCAAUUCAUGUUCAUAUGCAAACUAUAGGAUGUAUCAUUUACAGUUGAAACUUGAAAGACUUGGUGGACAGGGAAAAACAAGAUAUUCUCAUGGAGUUUUAGUAUUUUAGAUUAUGAAACCAGAAACAAUGAACCAGUGGCAAACCCACAGCCUGACCCUGAGCAGCCACCCGAUCUCGGCGGCGAAGCACAAAGAGAAAUUUUAUUUGACACAAUGGAGAACAUUGUAUUUUUCUUAAAUAUUUUUUGCAAAAUGAGAAUAGCCUGGGCUUCUAAAAGUUUCUGGAUCUGCCACUGCAAUGAGCCUACUUGGAAACUCCAUGGCACAACAUAAGUUCAGGUAAGAGUUACUUGUCUGAUCCAUGGAAUAAGGACAAGACUAAUAAAGAAUGACACAAAUAAAAAGGUUCAUGAGUUCAUUUCUCCAACUUCGCAUCCUGACUUAGCUUUGGCACUCCUCUAUCAAUUUACUGGCUUUAUACGCAGCAGCAGCAGCAGCCAGCAGGGUAGUCAAACAAGUCAUUACUUUACUUCCUGAAGGAGAAUAUAAUUGGUGGAAUAUUUGAUAUAUUGCAUUGGACCUCAUGGGCUGAUUAUAUAGGGUACAUAGGACUAACACCUUAUGUGGGUACACAAUAUGGUACUAUUUCUAUUUACUCUAACAUCCUCCCGCAGUCAUCACGGGAGCGCUGCAGACGGUAAGACUGGAGAAGAAGUUGAUAAGUAACAUCCCCCGUAGUCAUAACAGUCGAUGCGCCGCAUAAGCUGUGACUGGAGAAGAAGCCGAUGAGUCCUCAUGAAAGGCGGUAGCCCUUUGUGCCGAUGUCGAGGUAGCCGAGCAUAAGGGCACAAUAGCCGUGGUCGAAGAAGUCGUGCUGAAGAUUGCCGAGGUCGACUUAGUUGUGGUGGGGUUGCGUGUCGAUGGAGCUGCAGGCACACAAGGGGCGCCAUGGUAAUGACGGAGACGCGUCGAGGCAGUCGUCGUGGGAGGGGGCGAUGCCGAAGUCGACGCAGUCAGGACCGUCGUAGAAGAAAGGCGACGACACAAUCAAGGCAGACGGGGAGGAACGGGAGGGUCGAUGCCGAAGUCGAUGCAGUCAAGCCGCCUGAGCGCCGAGGCGCAGCUGGAUUUGCCAGAUCCAACAACGCGUCGAGGACGAAAGCACGCAUCGGUGUUGCCAAUACCAAGCAUACAAGGGAAAGAGCCCCAAUCGUGUGGUUGUGUUGGACGAAGAAGCAAUGCAGGAGAAGACGCAUUGGCGAGCAGGUCUCAGCGACGAUGCGGGUAGUGGCAGCUAGAUGACGAAGACCCAAUCAGCAGGACGAAGACCUUGUGCAGACGGAUGGCGCAACAAGGAUUGCGCAACACAAUUAUCGAUGCACAUAUGACGGCGAUGGAGAUGCAACGGCGAAGCGUACACACGGAGAGCGGUGCUGCGGCCCGAUGAGGCAACAUAACAGCAGCCCUGUUGCUCGGAGAAGAUGUGCGUAGUACUCAGAGAUGGUGUCGAUGAAGUCGAUGCCGAUGUCGGAGUAGAACGCACAAGGUCGACGGGCGGUAGGCGACUCAAUCUCGAUCAGUGAUCAGGCAAACCAAAAAGAUACAGCAGCAGGAGAUCGGGUGUACCCAGCAAGGCGACAUGAUGGCGGCGGUGCGUCCCGAUCGGGCGGCGCAAGGCGCACGGCGGGGUCGAAGGCGCCAAUGCGGAUUGACGAGGUGGAGAUGGGCAGAUCCUCCCGGCAACAGCAACACGCCAGAUCUAGCUGCCUCCAUGGCAGCGCAGGGUUGAGGUGUGUGGCCGGCCCUGGCCGCCACCACGACGGCACGAGACAGGGCGAGAUCCAUCUGCCUCCAUGCAAUGAAGAUCAAGUGUUGAUGGCGACAGCCGGCAGCGAGCCCGGGACGAGGCGGCGGCGGCAACCUGGCGAUGACGUAGGGGAGAUCCCGAUCUACUGUGCGACGACGACGAUGGUAGCCGGAUCAAUAGGAUCGGGCGCCUAAAGAGGGGCGCUGCCCCCGGCGGAGAUCGACCUCUCCCCGGGGGCGCACAGUCGGGAAGCGGCGGCGGCUAGGGUUAGAAUCUAAACCUAGGCGAAUGAUACCAUGAAGGAGAAUAUAAUGGGUGGAAUAUUUGAUAUAUUGCAUCGGGCCUCAUGGGCUGAUUAUAUAGGGUACAUAAGACUAACACCUUAUGUGGGUACACAAUAUGGUACUAUUCCUAUUUACUCUAACACUUCCAUCUCCCUCCGAGAAUCUCUUACUGUUUCUUAAAAUAUGGGCAAGGUGUGUUCAUGUUUUGUUGCAUUUAUAUGAUUAUUACUGAAAUAGAAAUUAACCAUAUGAAUAUGAUCUAGGCAUGUUUGAAAUAUUGACAGGAGAAAAGAAGAUACUAUCAUGGAAGUAUAUGAUUACUGAACCAAAACAAUGAACAUACAUGGAAAACUCCAUGGCAGAACAAAAGUUCCAGGUCAAUGUUGUAUGACAUGGCAUAAGGGGCACUUCAAUAGGGAUAGACAAAUAGAAAAAGGUUCAUGAAUCCAUUUCUACAGCUUUGCAGCCUGACUUGACUUCUGCACACGCCUCUAUCAAUUUACUGGCUUGAUAGGAAGCAAAAACUGGCUAAUAAAACAAGUCACUCCUCUCUUUCACCCUCCAAGAAUCUCUCUUAGACUCUUACUACUUAUAAAAGUUAAAAAUAUGACCAGGACAUGUUCAUACUUUGCUUUAGCGUUGGUAAUCUGAAAUCUGAACUAAUAUUGAAGUAGAGUAGGAAAGAUAUACAGGAAAUCAAAAUGAUUAAGAAAAGAUAAUUCAAUUAGCAAACAGAAAGUUGAAUAAAUUUGAGCACUAGUAUUUACAAUAGUAUCGUAUUUUCUUUUUGCUGUGUAUAUGAAAACGCUAGGUACACCGUACACCAAGCACAAGAAAAAACUAGUUUUUGUUUACAUCAUUAAUAAUGUCCUAAACUAGCAUAAAUAUUCACUAGCCACCUCAGAGUAGGCCUUGCCAUCCUUUCUCCUCAAUUCUUGAAGAACUUUUUUUAUGAUUGGUGGUGCAGAGCUAGCUAGACUGUGAGUGGCCCCACCGAAUAAGGUUUAAAUUCCCUAAUCAUUUUAGGUGCAUGGACUCUCUGGAAACACAGGAAUGACUAGUUUUUAAUGAAGUUACACCAAGGCUCUCCAGAGCACUAUACCUUGCUGGUGAGGAGUACCAGCUCUGGAGUAUGGUAGGCGCUAUGGGGCUGUUUUAUCACAGCCCUAGCCUAGAUAACUAGGUUCUACGUCUGAUCGCCCCUUUUUCAAUUUUUAGAGGCAUGUAUGUAAUCCCUUUAUUUCCCUCUUAGUGAAAUAUGGUCGUGAAAAAAUAUGUAAUCCUUUUAUCUGAGGGUCUGUGUGUUGUAACUCUGUUCUUCUAGUAAUACAAUGAUGCACAGCCUCUCCUGGGUGUUCAAGAAAAAAAAGCACCUUACAAGCUGAUAUUGAUCAUACAAAAAAUUGGAGGACACACUUCGAUUCGACAUAUAGAUCACCUGCUAACUUACUACAGAAGGUCUGUACCCAUAAUUAAGAAAAUCAUAGUGCCUAGUGCCAUUUUGUGAAGGACAACAAAUGGGCUAAGAUUACCUUGUUGUAGACUCAUAUAAAUGACUCUUGACUCAUCAAGCAUGGAUCUGUAGACUCAUAAGGCAUGGGAUCCAACGAACACCCACGGUUUCUUUUUUGGAAAAAGUUUGAUAUCCAGCAGGGGCGGACCCAGUAAGGCUGCGUUUGAUUACCUCGAUUGGAACCAGGAACUAUUCCAGCUUUCCAAAACUAUACAGAUCAGUGAACAAAUUCCAACUGGAAUCAUUCCAGUGACUCAAUCCAGAGCAACCGAACAAGCCUUACAGGACAUGGGUGUACACAUAACACAUGUACCCCCAAUAAUUUUGCAAAGAAACUGAAGCUAGUAGGCAUAACACAUGAAUACACUUGGAAUUAGAUCAGAUCCAAAUAGGUUUCGGGAACCCUGUUUCGCACAGAAGGAAGGGAACGAGGGAAGAGAAGGGGCGCGCAUACUUAGUGGUUGCUCGUCGCCGGCGAAGGGCUGUUGAAGGGACCGACGAAAGCCUGGGCACCUGGCCUAGGGCGGCGGCGACGGUCGCCAAGUUGUCCCCACGAGAGAGAGGACGCGCUGGCGGGGUGUUGAACGGGAGAAGAGAAAGCAGGGGUCAAGGCUGGAGCAAAGUUGGGAUUUUUCAAACCGAAUUUUCCUGUCCAGACAGAUCUCUG